rnacentral:lncRNA from 1 species
GAGCUGGAGGAUGUGUUGUCGAGGUAAUUAGGUUGUGAACACUCGAAGUACACAUUGUGCGAGGUGAUCAAGCUGGACAGAGCGUCCCCCAUGUUCACAGAUGCUGUCUCCAGGCGGAAGCUCGGAUGCUCCUCCAGUUGGUGCGCGCUGGGCGCCCACCCCGAUCCUCUCAAUAUCUCUGCUGCAAACAGGCAACAGAAUAAACUGACGAAUUAAAACAUUUUCGUCAAGUACGCAUUGCAUUGAUACCAUUCAACAAUCCAGGUUGGAGCAAUAAGUCCUAAUCGUAGUAUGCAUAGUGCAUACGACUGCAAACUUGCAUCAAUUACACACCGUUGCGACAAACGCGCACAAACACUGAACCUCAACGAUCAAUUCUCGUGAAUUCUCCCCCAUCACUUCAGACAAUUGCUCCUGACAAUCACAAGGUCUGGCCACUGGUUGUUGUCCCCCUUCAAACCUCUUCGCAAAAAUUAACUGUGUCUGGUUUUUUCUUUUAUGACGAUCUAUAUUCUAUCUCGAAACCUUGUGAGGCACUCAGCUCACCUUGACGGGAUUCGCGGUCA